rnacentral:rRNA from 1 species
AACGAACGCUGGCGGCAUGCCUAACACAUGCAAGUCGAACGAGACCUUCGGGUCUAGUGGCGCACGGGUGCGUAACGCGUGGGAACCUGCCCUUAGGUUCGGAAUAACUCCCCGAAAGGGGUGCUAAUACCGGAUAAUGUCUUCGGACCAAAGAUUUAUCGCCUUUGGAUGGGCCCGCGUUGGAUUAGCUAGUUGGUAGGGUAAAAGCCUACCAAGGCGACGAUCCAUAGCUGGUCUGAGAGGAUGAUCAGCCACACUGGGACUGAGACACGGCCCAGACUCCUACGGGAGGCAGCAGUGGGGAAUAUUGGACAAUGGGCGAAAGCCUGAUCCAGCAAUGCCGCGUGAGUGAUGAAGGCCUUAGGGUUGUAAAGCUCUUUUACCCGGGACGAUAAUGACAGUACCGGGAGAAUAAGCUCCGGCUAACUCCGU